UACGUAGGGGGCUAGCGUUGUCCGGAAUUAUUGGGCGUAAAGAGCUCGUAGGCGGCUUGUCACGUCGGAUGUGAAAGCCCGAGGCUUAACCUCGGGUCUGCAUUCGAUACGGGCUAGCUAGAGUGUGGUAGGGGAGAUCGGAAUUCCUGGUGUAGCGGUGAAAUGCGCAGAUAUCAGGAGGAACACCGGUGGCGAAGGCGGAUCUCUGGGCCAUUACUGACGCUGAGGAGCGAAAGCGUGGGGAGCGAACAGG
rnacentral:rRNA from 1 species